rnacentral:lncRNA from 1 species
UCAGAUAACUUUCAAUUAAAAAACAGAACUAGCGGAGACAAAAUUGGUGAUAUGUCGCCGUACAACUACGAAAAGUGAGGUAGAUAUCCAACAAUCAAUAGUCAGACAAAAUAGGUCAGUUUUCAAGCCACUAGAUAUUUCUAAAACCACUGUCCCUGGCCAACUGAUUAUCUUCCUAGAAGUCCUAUAUAUCAACAAUUGGUCACUCGAUCUUAAGUAUUGAAUGAAGGACAAGAAUUUGCGAGGGAAUUGUUGAUUGAAUUGAUCAAUAAAUGAGUUAUGUCAGCAGAGUUUCUAGGGGGGGAACUGGUACAGCUGCCCAGGGCCAAGAGGACCAAUGCUCCAAAUACAGCAGCUCUAGCCUUUUCGGUCUUCCUCCAAGUUGGCGUAGCAAAAGGUCCUCCCGUACCAGUAGUAUUGUGCAAGAAGAUGCAAGAAUUUCGAGAGCAGGUGGUCAGGGAGAAGAAGAAGAUAGGAAAAAGCUGGUGGAUGAGUCUUUUCAGAAGGUCAUGUUUUUGAAUUGCUGGUCACAGAGCUAGCAUUUUUAGACUUAAUAUUCGAGCAACUACAAUUGUGUUGAAAGGAAUAAAUGCGACUAUAGCAAUGAGAUUCAAGACAAUAAUUUCAUUACCAUUGAUGUUUUGCUGCGUUAUUAUUUGUUUAGAUGAUUGGCAACCAAUUCCACUCUAAACUAGUACAUAAUAGCUGCAAAAUACCUUAAAAAGCUCAUGUUUUUCAGAGCCAUCUCAAGUUUGCGACACGCCCUGUUUGAUCUCCUCUUCUUCUUCUUCUAUAGUCUAUGCGUGAAGCCCACAAAUGAUGUGGCCAAAUUUGCUGUGAUAAGAGUAGUAUUCGCUCAGCGGCUUUUUCUAUUCUAGUCAAUAGAGGCCAAAUUUCCUCGUGCGGUGAAAAUCAUGCGAGAUUACGACUACUAGUUAGAUUCUGCAGUUAUAAUGUCAGAUUAUAUAUAUUACAGCAGUAUUUCUCAAAUCCCUCCUUGUACUUCUCCCGUCUCCACCUUGACAUGGUUACUUUGUUGUCACCGGCUCCAAUGAUUAGAUAACGGUGCAAUUUUUUUCCCCUUGUUUUCUGGUUCAUUCAACUUGUAGUACUAUAAACUUGUAGUGAAAAUAUCAAUAUGAGUUUGUUUGGAUAGGAGGUUAUUUGAGAUAAUUACUGUAAUACUUUUGAUGAUGUGAUGUAUGUGAGAUAAAAAAGUAGUUGAAAAUUGUAUUUAUGACGUAAGUAGGAAAAAAUUUGAAAUUUUGUAUCAAGGAG